AUUGAACGCUGGCGGCAGGCCUAACACAUGCAAGUCGAACGGUAACAGGAAGAAGCUUGCUUCUUUGCUGACGAGUGGCUGACGGUUGGGUCAUUUCUGGGAAACUGCCUGAUGGAGGGGGAUAUCUUCUGGAAACGGUACCUAAUACCGCAUAACUUCGCAAGACCAAUGAGGGGGACCUUCGGGCCUCUUGCCAUCGGAUAUGCCCAGAUCGGGUUAGCUAGUAGGUGGAGUACCGGCUCACCUAGGCGACGAGCCUUAGCUGGUCUGAGAGGAUGACCAGCCACACUGGAACUGAGAAACGGUACAGACACCUACGGGAGGAAGCAGUCGGGAAUAUUGCGCAAUGGGCGAGAGCCUGAUGCAGCAAUGCCGGGUGUAGGAAGAAGGAGUUCGGGUGGGAAAGUACUUUCAGCGGGGAGGACGGGAGUAAAGUUAAUAACUGUGCUCAUUGACGUUACCCGCAGAAGAAGCACCGGCUAACUCCGUG
rnacentral:rRNA from 1 species